AGUGAAUAGAUACCCUGGUAGUCCACGCCCUAAACGAUGUCGACUGGUUGUUGGGGGUUUGACACUCUCAGUAAACGAAAGCUAAACGCGUGAAGUCGACCGCCUGGGGAGUACGGCCGCAAGGUUAAAACUCAAAGGAAUUGACGGGGACCCGCACAAGCGGUGGAUUAUGUGGAUUAAUUCGAUGCAACGCGAAAAACCUUACCUACCCUUGACAUGUCCGAGAGCCCGCUGAGAGGCGGGUGUGCCCGAAAGGGAAUCGGAACACAGGUGCUGCAUGGCUGUCGUCAGCUCGUGUCGUGAGAUGUUGGGUUAAGUCCCGCAACGAGCGCAACCCUUGCCAUUAGUUGCCACCCGUAAGGGGGCACUCUAAUGGGACUGCCGGUGACAAACCGGAGGAAGGUGGGGAUGACGUCAAGUCCUCAUGGCCCUUAUGGGUAGGGCUUCACACGUAAUACAAUGGCGCGUACAGAGGGUUGCCAAGGAGCGAUCUGGAGCCAAUCCCGUAAAGCGCGUCGUAGUCCGGAUUGCAGUCUGCAACUCG
rnacentral:rRNA from 1 species